rnacentral:rRNA from 1 species
GAUGAACGCUAGCUACAGGCUUAACACAUGCAAGUCGCGGGGCAGCAUGGGGUUUGCUUGCAACCCCUGAUGGCAACGGGCGCCUGGGUGAUUACUGGGUACCCACCCUGCCCUCCACACCGGGUUAACCGGCCCAAAUCCGACUAAAUCCUUAAGGUUUUCAAUUACGGCCUUCCGUUUUGACGAAAGGCUUUGCGGUUAAAAGAUUGGGGAUGCGUCCGAUUAGGUUGCCGGCGGGGUAACGGCCCACCGGGGCUACGAUCGGUAGGGGUCCUGAGAGGAAGGUCCCCCACACUGGAACUGAGACACGGUCCAGACUCCUACGGGAGGCAGCAGUGAGGAAUAUUGGUCAAUGGGCGUAAGCCUGAACCAGCCAAGUAGCGUGCAGGAUGACGGCCCUAUGGGUUGUAAACUGCUUUUAUGCGGGGAUAAAGUGGCCCACGUGUGGGCUUUUGCAGGUACCGCAGGAAUAAGGACCGGCUAAUUCCGU